rnacentral:rRNA from 1 species
UGGGCGUAAGGGCUCGCAGGCGGUUUCUUAAGUCUGAUGUGAAAGCCCCCGGCUCAACCGGGGAGGGUCAUUGGAAACUGGGAAACUUGAGUGCAGAAGAGGAGAGUGGAAUUCCACGUGUAGCGGUGAAAUGCGUAGAGAUGUGGAGGAACACCAGUGGCGAAGGCGACUCUCUGGUCUGUAACUGACGCUGAGGAGCGAAAGCGUGGGGAGCGAACAGGAUUAGAUACCCUGGUAGUCCACGCCGUAAACGAUGAGUGCUAAGUGUUAGGGGGUUUCCGCCCCUUAGUGCUGCAGCUAACGCAUUAAGCACUCCGCCUGGGGAGUACGGUCGCAAGACUGAAACUCAAAGGAAUUGACGGGGGCCCGCACAAGCGGUGGAGCAUGUGGUUUAAUUCGAAGCAACGCGAAGAACCUUACCAGGUCUUGACAUCCUCUGACAACCCUAGAGAUAGGGCUUUCCCUUCGGCGACAGAGUGACAGGUGGUGCAUGGUUGUCGUCAGCUCGUGUCGUGAGAUGCUGGGUUAAGUCCCGCAACGAUCGCUACCCUUGA